CCCAGCGCAUCAGGAGCACGGCCCGGAGCAGCGGGACGCUUGGGGCAGGAGAUCUGCGGUUGUCAGCAACCCCACGGCCUUCGGCAGCAAGGGGUGCGGAAGGUGAGACAUGGUCGUUACAACAGUCGGGGGAGCUGCUAGAUGACAUUAAGCACCUAAUUGAUUCCUGGGGUGUAGGGAGAAGGAAGGACAGUGAGUGCAGUCAGGUUUGGGCUCGGGUGGGAGAGGUCUCAGGGGCUAGUCCGGUGAGGGUUUCUGUGGCCGGAGGCAGCACAGUUGGGGACGGGGGUGCGACCCCCACAGUAGAGGCGCCCAGGUUGGCAAGUGAGAGGGAGAGCUUAUUGGGGGGCGUCUGCGCGGCAGAUCAUUCAUGUUUCUUUCGCAGGCCCACUGGGCUGUCAUCUCAAAAUGGAGGUUAAGGAGAGGCUAUGGAAAGGGGAGUUCGUGGAAAUAUUUUCGCUUCUCCCCCUUGAGGACUACAUUGACCUCAAGGAGGAGGAUAAAAAGGAUGCCAAAAAGGAGGAGGAGGAAAAGAAGCGGAGGUAUAGGAAGAUACCUAAGACGUUUGGGAACUGGCUGAGGGCAUUUUGCAUCUUGGCCAGCGCGAUGGGCGAAAAGGCGGAAGAGCGCUGUUCGCAGCUCUUCUGUUACCUGGAUGGUAUUUGGGAGGUUUAUCGCACAUACGGGGGUCUGGCCUGGUGGCGGUAUGACGAGCAGUUUCGUCAGCGCCUGGCUGCUAACCCGGGGAUGAAGUGGGACCAGAUGGAUCUACCCCUCUGGAUAAAACUUAUGAUGGCGCAGAAGGCGUCCCCCUUUCAGACAGGGGCCGGCACGGGCUCGUCUACCGCCGUGUCGGCCAACCAAAAACGGGGCUACUGCUGGCUGUAUAAUGAGGGACAGUGCAAGUGGGGGGGCCACUUGUCGAUUCAAGCAUGAAUGCUCCGGAUGUGGAGGCACCCACGGACUUCACAGGUGUUUCAAAAAAGGGAAGUCAGCCUCCGCAGCAGGGGUGCCUGGAGGUUCGGCAUGGUCCCCUGCCUCUGGGGGCCACAUCAGUGAAGGCCGGUGCUAAGCCACUACGCUAACAGGGAAGAUGCGGCGUUGCUAGAGGAGGGGUUCACCAACGGGUUCGUUAUGCCGUUUCGGUAGCGAGUGGUGGCUCAUCUCCGGGGGUGGUUAGGGAGAAGUUGCAUAAGGAGGUUCAGCUGGGCGGGGCCGUUCAGGGAGCCCCUGUUACCCAACUUGAGAGUAUCACCACUUGGGGUGGUACCCAAGAAGGAGCCCGGCAAGUACCGCCUGAUUCACCAUCUGUCCUACCCCAAGGGGUCGUCAGUUGAUGACGACAUAGACAGGGCCCUUUCUUCGGUUUCGUACGCUUCGUUCGACCAGGCGGUGAACCUGGUGCAGCGAGCAGGCCGGGGGCGUUGUUGGCGAAGGCGGACGUGGAGUCGGCUUUCCACCUUUUGCCGAUUCACCCGAAGUGCCAUCACUUGCUGGGUUGUCACUUCGAGGGGGAAUAUUACGUAGAUCUUUGUUUGCCCAUGGGGUGCUCUAUAUCGUGCGCGUACUUUGAAAAAUUUAGCACAUUCCUGGAAUGGGUGGUAAAGCUGGAAGUGGGCACUAGAAUGGUAGUCCAUUAUCUGGAUGACUUCUUAUGUGUAGGGCCUCCUGGAUUGGAGGAAUGUCGCAGGGGAUUGAGGACACUGGAAUGGGUGGCGCACAUGAUUGGAGUCCCCUUGGCAAGUGACAAAACAGUGGGGCCUAUGACCUGCCUGAGUUUCUUGGGCUUGGAGAUCGACUCGGUAAAGGGGGAGUGCAGGCUGCCACAGGACAAGUCACUGGCACUCCGGCAGGCGGUGGCGGAGGUGCGGGGAGCUAAGAAGGUUACGCUCCGGGUGCUUCAGUCUCUGCUCGGUCGACUAAUCUUCGCCUGUCGGGUGAUCCCGGUCGGACGGGUUUUUUAACAGGUUCCUAGCCAGGGCAACGGCGGGGGUGGUGUUCCCGCACCACCUUAUUCGGGUAUCAGGGGCCACGAAGGCUGACUUGGACAUCUGGGGGGAAUUCUUGCGGGAUUUUAUCGGGAAAGUGUUCUUUCGGGAGCAGGCGGCGUCUUCUCAGGAGUUGGAGCUGUUUAUGGAUGCGUCGGGGAGUGUCGGGUUUGGGGCUUACUUUUCGGGUCAAUGGUGCGCGGGUACUUGGCCAAGGGCCUGGAAGGCCAGCCCGCUGAUACGCAACCUAGUGUUCCUGGAAUUGUUCCCGUUGGUAGUGGCGCUGUCACUAUGGGGUCCACAGUUGAGGGAUAAGAAGGUGGUAUUCUUUUCGGACAAUAUGGCAGUGGUAGAUGCAGUGAACAGGCUAUCAGCAUCCUCUGUCCCGGUGGUGUGCUUUUUCGCUGUUUUGUCUUGUUCUGUAUGAGGUUUAACAUUGUGUUUCGGGCGCGCCACGUGCCGGGACUGUUGAAUGUCAUUGCUGAUGCGUUGUCUCGUUCACAGUGUGAGAGAUUUCGGCAGGUGGCACCUGGCGCACGGGAGGAAGGGAUGUCUUGACCGGACGAGAUGUGGCGGCUCGGGACAUCAUGCUUGGCGGACUGAUCAGGGAUUCUCUGGCACCCGCUACCUGGGCGGCAUACAGUAAGGUGUGGGGGGAAUGGGACGAACUGGUGCAGCAGACAGGGGGUCAGCUCUCAGAGGAGGCGCGGUUGGAUGUGCUGCUGUGGCACUUGUGUAGGUCAGUUACCACAGGGGUUUCGGCAGCGGUGAUGGGGCGUAAGCUGGCAGCGCUAGCGUUCUUGUUCAAAUUUAACGGGUAGGAGGAUGCUACCAAAUAUUUUCUGGUUAGACAGGCACUGAAAGGUUUCAGGAGGGGUAAAGUGUCAGUGGAUACUAGGAGGCCAGUGUUGUUCGAAUUGCUGCAGCGGGUGGUCCGAGUGCUGCACGCGGUGUAUUUUUCAGGAUACGAAGUGACGUUGUUUUCCGUGGUUUUUAGUUUUGCCUUUUUUGGGGCAUUUCGGGUCAGCGAGCAAGUUAGCAGCAAUCGCCAAGGGUCCGGGGGACUUCAGGCGAUGGACGUGGAAGUGUGGAGCAACAAGGUAGUGAUUAACCUGAGGCGGUCCAAAACGGAUGUAAUGGGGAAAGGAACGUUGGUUACGUUGUGGGAGCUCCCGGGUGGGAGAACUUGCCCGGUUAAGUGCGCAACGGCCUUCCGGGAGGUGCGGGCAAUGGCCGGGGGUUCAUAUUUCAAGCAUGAGGACGGCUCUUCGCUAUCGAAGUUCCAGUUCCUCUGGGUUUUUCGGAAGGCGUUGGCAAGGUUGGGUGUGGACCCGGGCCAAUUCGGGACACAUUCUUUCAGGAUUGGUGUGGCUACUGAAGCGGCGAGACUAGGUUUAGGUGAUGAACGGGUGAAAAAGAUUGGCAGGUGGGAGUCCCUGAGGUUCAGGUCUUACAUUAGGUCAGACAAGUUGGUUUAAGUUGGAGGAUGGAAAAGGGGGAAUGUUGGUGGUUGUUUUGUGGUUGUCUAUGUUUGCUUUAUGUUUUACAGGUCGGAUGGCAUGAGUGGUCGGCCACUCAUACGUACACUGGGCGCAACGGAGAGCUUCAGUUCAACGUCACGGUCUACAGCUGGGCUUUCCAAAUUCUGUGGUGCAGCUUCGGUGGUUUGGUUACCGGGGCUGGGGUUGGAAUGUUAUAUGUGAGGAAAUGUUUCACAAAAUUCUUUUGGGACAGGUUCCGGACAUAGUGGUGCUUCAUGCAGGGGGCAAUGAUGUG